GGGAACUCUGACACAGGUGCUGCAUGGCUGUCGUCAGCUCGUGUCGUGAGAUGUUGGGUUAAGUCCCGUAACGAGCGCAACCCUUGUCCUUAGUUACCAGCACGUUAUGGUGGGGCACUCUAAGGAGACUGCCGGUGACAAACCGGAGGAAGGUGGGGGAUGACGUCAAGUCAUCAUGGCCCUUACGGCCUGGGCUACACACGUGCUACAAUGGUCGGUACAAAGGGUUGCCAAGCCGCGAGGUGGAGCUAAUCCCAUAAAACCGAUCGUAGUCCGGAUCGCAGUCUGCAACUCGACUGCGUGAAGUCGGAAUCGCUAGUAAUCGUGAAUCAGAAUGUCACGGUGAAUACGUUCCCGGGCCUU
rnacentral:rRNA from 1 species